rnacentral:rRNA from 1 species
AUUGAACGCUGGCGGCAGGCCUAACACAUGCAAGUCGAACGGUAACAGGAAACAGCUUGCUGUUUCGCUGACGAGUGGCGGACGGGUGAGUAAUGUCUGGGAAACUGCCUGAUGGAGGGGGAUAACUACUGGAAACGGUAGCUAAUACCGCAUAACGUCGCAAGACCAAAGAGGGGGACCUUCGGGCCUCUUGCCAUCGGAUGUGCCCAGAUGGGAUUAGCUAGUAGGUGGGGUAACGGCUCACCUAGGCGACGAUCCCUAGCUGGUCUGAGAGGAUGACCAGCCACACUGGAACUGAGACACGGUCCAGACUCCUACGGGAGGCAGCAGUGGGGAAUAUUGCACAAUGGGCGCAAGCCUGAUGCAGCCAUGCCGCGUGUAUGAAGAAGGCCUUCGGGUUGUAAAGUACUUUCAGCGGGGAUGAAGGGAGUAAAGUUAAUACCCUUGCUCAUUGACGUUACCCGCAGAAGAAGCACCGGCUAACUCCGUG